rnacentral:rRNA from 1 species
UGGGGGAUAUUGCACAAUGGGCGAAAGCCUGAUGCAGCGACGCCGCGUGGGGGAUGAAGGCUUUCGGGUUGUAAACCUCUUUCGCUAUCGAACAAGGCCCGCUUAGGGUGGGUUGAGGGUAGGUGGAGAAGAAGCGCCGGCUAACUACGUGCCAGCAGCCGCGGUAAUACGUAGGGCGCGAGCGUUGUCCGGAAUUAUUGGGCGUAAAGGGCUUGUAGGCGGCUUGUUGCGCCUGCUGUGAAAACGCGGGGCUUAACUUCGCGCGUGCAGUGGGUACGGGCAGGCUUGAGUGUGGUAGGGGUGACUGGAAUUCCAGGUGUAGCGGUGGAAAUGCGCAGAUAUCUGGAGGAACACCGAUGGCGAAGGCAGGUCACUGGGCCAUUACUGACGCUGAGGAGCGAAAGCAUGGGUAGCGAACAGG